GUUAGCACUAUGGUCGGUCGUCUUGUGAAGCCGAGGUUCCUCGUAAUAUAUAAUAUUAAGAUGCGUUGUUUUUUUAUUCGCGAUUUGAUAUGCAUUAAGUAUGCAUUUAGCAUAGGAACCGAAGCGACACGCGUUGGCGAUUCGGUCACUAUCCGUUAGUCAGGCCUCAACCGUCUGCUGUUAGAGUAAUGGUCGAUCGUCGCGUGAAGCCUAAGUUUCUCGUAAAAGAAAUUAGAGUCAGUGGACUAGUCCGAUCGGGGGGAAACCACUUAAAACAAAAAUCGUGAAAAGUUCCACCUUAAAAGUUCUACUUUUCCCUAUUCUUUUCCUAUUCCUUUUAAUAUUUUCUUUUGCAGGAUAAACUAUGAUGCCAAAUUCCGUCCAAGAGAAGAAGGAAUCGAACCUUAGGAGGACUGAGUUAUGAUAACAAUUCCGACCAAGAGGAAGGGGAUGUGGAUUAGAAGAUGGACCAGAAGUGGACUAAGUUAUGGUAAAUGGUAGUAAAAAAUAAUUA
rnacentral:lncRNA from 1 species